UGCCCUGGUAAUGGGCAAAGAGACACCUUGUUGGUGGUGCUGUUCUUAUACCAGCCAGGGGCAGAGCAGGUGGCAUCCUUUGUUCAUCCUAGCUUGAUGCCUGGCCGGGUGGCUAAAGCUGCCUUCUACCUAGGCCUCAGAA